GCAUCGGUGGUUCAGUGGUAGAAUGCUCGCCUGCCACGCGGGCGGCCCGGGUUCGAAAUGUCGUCUCUUGUUUGGGGACA